GCUGUCCGUAGAUGUGUGGUUUUAUUUCUUGGCUUUUAAUUUUGUUCCAUGGCUCUGUGUGUUUGUUUUUGUGGUUCCCUGGUAUUUUUAAAGGUUCUUCACACUAUUUGAGUUGAUGGAGAGAACUGACUCAGAUCAUGAGAAUCUUUGGAAUAACUUUCAUCUUUUCUGAAUUUUUUUUUAAACAAGUAAGAAUCCCCUUCACCCUCAAGUGUUUCAUGCCUUAGAGAUCAAAGUUGUAGACUCUAUUAUAGUAAAUUAGUAAAAGCAGCGUUAGUAAUUGGUAACAGUAUUAAUCAGCGGCAGUAGGAACAAUGUAACGAUAAUGAAUAGGUAACAUUUAAAUGGUGCUUAUUAUGUACCAGUCUCUGUUCUAAAUGAUUUGUGUAAACUAACUCGUUUAAUUCCCACCAUAACCCGAUGAGGUAGGUACGAUUAUGAUUGGCAUUUGACAGAGGAGAAAACUGAGGUGUGGAGAGGCUAAGAAACUUCCCCAAGUUCACAGAGCUGGAAAGUAGUGGAGCUGUGAGGCCCCCAGGUCCAUGCUCUGUACCACUAGGACCUGGCAGUCUGGGUGUGAUGAGGCGGUGUCAGAAAGCUCAUAGAGCACCCGUAGUGCCGUUGACGUAGGGUAUGAUUUCUGUGUUGCUGCGUAAUAGAUUAUCCCACACUUAGUGGCUUCAGACAACAGAUAUCAUCUCUUGGUUUCUGUGGGCCAGGAGUCUGGGUGCAGCUUAGCUGGGUCCUUUGGCUCAGGGUCUCUCGCAGGCUGCGCGGUCCAGGGCUUAGCUGGGGCGCUGCUAUCAGCCAGGGUGCCACUCGGGCAGGAUCCACUUCCAGAUAAAAUCAGUGUUGUUGGCAGGAUUCAGUUCCUUGCGGGUUGUUGGACUGGGAGCCUUAGUUCUUUACUCGCUGUUGGCCAGAGGCCACCCUCACUCAUUGCCGCAGGGGCCUCUCCAUGGGACAGCUCCCGUGUCAGCUGGCUUCAUCAAAGUGAGCAAGCGAGAGUGUGAGCGAGGUGGAAGGCACAGUCCCCUGUCCCCUGAUCUCAGAACUGACCCUUAUCAAUCUGCCUUACUCUGUUAUUAGAAGCCAGUCACUGGGUGGCAGCCCCAACUCACUGGGAGUGGCCCACGGAAGGGUGUGAGUACCAGGAGGUGGGAUGGCUGGGAGGCAUUGUAGAGGCUGCCUCCCCGGGGGGAGGUAGAAACAGCUCUGUGAGCUGCUGUUCUGAUGAUCCAGUUCCACGCAGCAUGAACAUGCUUUGAAAUCAACACAUUUUAAGAGAUUUUUAUGUCCCUGAUGCCAGUAGGUAAUUUCAGGCUCUAAGGACUUUCGAGCAGGAGGGGAACUUUUUCUGCCAUGCAGCUGCUGCUUUUCCCACGGGUCCACACCUGGCCCGACUUGUGGCUUCUAAACCGUAUCUGAUGGCAAGAGCAUCCGUGGCCUGGAAGUAGCAGCGUGAAUCCUUUCCAGGGCUGUGGCCUCUGCUGAAGUCAUUUGAGGCUGAAUCAUCAUCAGAUAGCCAGCCCAAUAUCAGCCGUCCUAAAGUAAGUGGGCACAAGGCCCCACCCUUGCUUUAGUUGUAAAGGAUUCUCACCCCCAGACACACGCGUGUCAUCAUUUUAUGAGAUGGGGCCCCUCUGUCUCCCACAGGAAGAGGAGGACUCUGUGCCUGGAAGCAUGGGAUACUGUCGCAUGGGCCAGUCUGUCAUUCUUUAAAAAUAGUGCUGCUUGCUUCCCAGGUUAUUAAAAAAAAAAAAAAA